rnacentral:rRNA from 1 species
UACGUAGGGGGCGAGCGUUGUCCGGAUUUAUUGGGCGUAAAGAGCGUGUAGGCGGCCAGGUAGGUCCGUUGUGAAAACUCGAGGCUCAACCUCGAGACGUCGAUGGAAACCAUCUGGCUAGAGUCCGGAAGAGGAGAGUGGAAUUCCUGGUGUAGCGGUGAAAUGCGCAGAUAUCAGGAAGAACACCUAUGGCGAAGGCAGCUCUCUGGGACGGUACUGACGCCGAGACGCGAAAGCGUGGGGAGCGAACAGG